UGAACAGUCGUUUUUAAAUUGUAUACUUGCUAUAUAUACGCAAAGGAUAGAAUGGAAUAUUUCCUUUAAGAAGAAUAAAAUAUGCUCGAUGAUCUUGGACCUCUAUUCCCAAAAGAUAUAUUGUACCAAGAGCGAAGUGGUGGCAAACUAGCAAGAGUUGAUGUGGAUGAAUUUUAACCCAUUCUAGAUAAACAUGGGGAAGGUGGAGGGAGCAUAGAGAAAGUUUGGAAGUCAGCUGAAGAUGUUAGAGAUGCAAAACCAGAGUCAAUAUGCUCUUUGAGAGUAGAAAGCAUGCUUCUUCUGCUUAGCACCUCAUGUAACACCGGACUUAUAAAAUCAAAAGGAAAAGUGAAGAGGAGAGAGAAUACUGACAAGAGGGGAGAUGGCAGGACAAAUAUCCUAGGAGUCCUGCUUUCCAUGAUCAGCUAAGUAUACACAGCUCUGAUCUAAGCCUCCCAUUAUGGAGAAUCUUCAGAGGAGCACACGUCUUUGCUGGCUGGCAUAUCAACAUUCAUGAUCCUGGCAUGUGGAAGAAUACUCUGAUUAUUGCCCAAGACAUUAGCAUUAAAAAUUCCUUCUAAGGCAUUUCUUUAUUCUUAAGUAAAUCCUGUUAAGGAAAAAUAGGAAUGUAUAAGCGAUUAAUAAAUUAAGGUGAGUUACUUUCUAAUUUGACAGAAUUGGGAGCUUUUAGCAAAUAAGGACAUUGCCCAGAGAGGAAAAGCAGAUAAUUCAGAGUGCUCAGAAGCUAGAGUUGGCUUUUUAGGGGAACUAACUUAAGAGUAAAGAGACUCCUUUAUGUCUAUUUAUUGUUUAUGAAAUUGAUGUAGAUGUUACUUUAAUAAUUGACUUACAUAACAUUAUUGAUAUUUUUCUACCCUGAUUUUUCAAGUGAUCUGUGUUCUUUAUAUUUUGACUUCUCUAUAAUAUUUUGCACAAAUGAUAAUCAGAAAUCACAAUGUGCUAAGUCUAAAUGAACUUUAGAAAGAGAAUGACAAACAAUUUGAUUCAAGAUUAACAUUAUAAUUGACAUUCUUAAAAAAAUAUUUCAGCAUUACUACAUAAGGAUCAUGUUACUUUUGUAAUUUUUCUAUUGUUAUGUGAUAAAUCAAAGAGGUAAAGAAAAAUAAAGGAUACAAGACAAAUGAUUAGAGUUCAUUGUAAGCUGGGAAGAAAGCAAUUCUUGUUAACUAAGUCAAAUUGAAAGCGAAUACACCUAAGAAAGUGUAAAGAUCACUAUUACAUUUUGUCUAAUGGGUACAUCAAAUUAAUGCAAAUUACUCCUGCCCCCAAAAAGGGUUCAUAAAUGAGAAGUUUUCUAAGGCAAAAGUGUCAUUGUAGUGUAACUUUGAGUAGGUACAUGUCCCUAUCAGCUGAUCUUAUCUUCCAAGCCUACAAUUAUUAAUCCUCUGUGUGUAGUGCUUAAAAUGUGGUACUUCACAUAAGAGGGCUGUAAAGAAAGAACGAAGACUUGUAAAGUGCCAAAGGGAGAGGAUCUCAGGUCCAUUUGGUUGAUUAACAGUCGUUAUUACGAGGAAAAUUACAGGAAAGAAUCUGUAGCCCAGGACAGAGCUCUUAACUCCAGAUUGCAUGAUAUUGGGAAUAUAACCAGAGCAGAGUUCAGAUGAAAAGCCUGGCAGCGGUGACCAGUGGUAUUAAAACACAUAGUGAUCUAAUAAAUAGCCCUUCAUGUUGCUCAGUGGUUGGGGAAGGCUUCU
rnacentral:lncRNA from 10 species